UGGAAAAUUCUGCUUCUUCACUAUUCCCAGCUCUUACUGAAUUAUCGUUUUGGGUCAGUUGGUAGCAUUUCCCAAGGCCUCCAUUGUCAGGACAGGAUGGGAAGCAGAUGCUCACAGAUUCUGCAUUCCAAAUGAUCGUAACGCAGCUAAGCAGAUAAGUGACAGAUAUCUAUAACAAGCAUGAAAGUGAAUAAAAUAGGAGAAACCAGAUAAAUUAGGAGUCUAGGGAUAUGAACAGCAGCUCUUCAGGAAGGUUUCCUAUGCAAGUAGUUUGCUUUAUUGCAGUUUAUUUCUGUUUUGUCUCUCCCACACCAUUCAUUAUCUAUUAGCUGCUAUUAGCCUUUUCUGUGGUGGGUCAGUAAGCAUGUUAGGCCAAGAUAUACUGAAGACAGCUUCUCUUCUGCGCUGUUGCACUCUUCGUAGGAGCAGCCAAUUUAGGCCCUUAGGGAUGAAAUCCUCAGACACUUCUUUAAACUUGGGUUUCACUAUAUACUGGUAUUGUACCAUCACUAGCCCAUGGGCCUGACUAUUAGUUGUAAAGGCCUUAUUUUCAGUAAUUUGAUAUGUAGACCUGAUGGUGCAGGAAUAGCAUAUAUUAGUUACUUAAUGCACUUCUAGAAAGUGGUAAGGAUGGUAUAAGAACAUGACCAGAAUAGAAUAGAAUAGAAUAGAAUAGAACUUUGAUUUCUAGGGCAACCUUCCCAAUAUCCAAUUGUGUAAGUUUUCAAAUAUAUGAAGAGCAGCUGUUAAAAACGGUCAGGAAAAUUAGCCCAGGCACAAAACCUAUUUGCCUGCCCUUCCUGUAGGUGCUUUGGCAAGUAGAUUAUUUCAUGGUUACAUACUGUACAGCUGAGCAACACAAAAACAUAUUAAGACUAACCACAUCUUGGGGUUCUGAGAGGAUCACAGAUCCCUCAACUUUUGCUCCUAUGGUAACCCUAAUACUAUCAGAACCAUCUAGGGAAAGAAUGGUUUUGUGGUUAAGGCAAUCUGGACUAUGGCCUUUAGCUACAUGUUCAAACUAUUACUAAAAUAAUGCAUCAUAUAAUAUUUUCCCAAUUUGAGAUAUAAUUGUACAGCAUCCUGCAGUGUUGUGUACCGUUGCAUGUGUUCUAGGGAGAGAUAGAAUCCAUUAAAGCCAUCGAUAUGAAAACUACCUAGUCGGAAUACACAACACACUCCAGAAGAUGAGCGCCUUAUAGAAUAACGGUGAACAUUAGCUGGUACUCAUAGGUCACCUGGGAGUGCAACAAAGUUACCCUCAUAAUUAACUGCCUCAUCUGAAUUACAGCUAAGGAUGUACAGUAUGUGUAUGUACAUGCAUGGUAUAUUAGCUUCAUAGAGUUAACUGUCUCAUCCCCUUACAUUACACUUAAGGAAAGCUGUGCUGUUGGUUGAAAAAAAUUUAGAAACUAAACUGAUAAUGUUGUAAGUUCUGUUAAAUCUUGUUGAAACUGGUGAGUGUAACCACCCCUCUUCAUUCAGGUUCAAUGUAAGAAACAAUAGAGGGCCUCAAAGCCAGGGCCGCCCAGAGGAUUCAGGGGGCCUGGGGCAAAGCAAUUUCGGGGGCCCCUUCAUAAAAAAACGUUGCAAUACUAUAGAAUACUAUAUUCUCGUGGGGGGCCCCUGUGAGGCCCAGGGCAAAUUGCUCCCCACUUCCCCCCGCCACCAUCCCGGGCGGCCCUGGGAAAAAUAAACAUUUAAAAACCUUCCCCAUCUUGGCAUAAAUCCAGUUUUGAGAAAACUUCUUUUCAAGUCACCUUUACAAGGUAUCACUGGUUCUCAGCAUCAGCUAUUGCUAAAAGGCACUAAAGCUCAUUAAAAGGGUUGGACAAAUAUUUUCUGUCAAAACUUUUUUUGGAUUGAAAACUAGGGGUUUUUAAAAAGCAGAAAAAAUCGUGGACAAUGUCUGCUUUCCUUCAAAAUUUGUUGUGUUUUUUUUAAUUGAAAAGCUGAAAUUAGUCUGCCAAAACCUGAACAUGGUUUGGGAUUUCAGAAGUGUGUGGCCAAAUAUUUGCUGCUUGCUGUGUUUGAUUGUUUAAAGAAACAAUAAAAAAAUUCCGCUUAAAAAAAAUCCAAAAUUUUUGAACCACCUCAGCUUGUGACCAAACACCUGAGCCCAUCCAGUCAGAGAUUUUUCCAGGUUUCUGAUAAUCUGCUGGUUUCCUUGACUCAUAUCUGUCUCCAUAACUUUGGGUUCAUUUAGGUUAGAACAUAAGAAUGGCCAUACUAGAUCAGACCAAAGGUCCAUCCAGCCCAGUAUCCUGUCUACCGACAGUGGCCAAUGCCAAGUGCCCCAGAGGGACUGAACCUAACAGGAACAGACAUGGCUUCGGAGUGUGCUAGUGUGGAUGUAAAAUUCCAGCAUAUACUGCCGCCAUUGAACGGAACAGGACUAUCACUACUGCUUCAAUAAGAACGGGAUUGUGCCCUCUGUCAGUGUGCUCUUAAAAAGUAGAUAUUUAAUGUAUUGUGAUGCUUGCCAAACAAGAUAUUCUAUGUUGUUCAUUAUAAUGGCCAUGCUGAUAGUUGCCAGCCAGAUUUAGUCUUAUAAAUCUCUUGCAGUAGAGCUACACUCUGCAGUUCCUUAUCCUUACAAGUCCUGGUUGGUCUCUUCAGAUUCUGAUUAAGGCCAUCCAGGGGCACUUUCAGUAUAGUGCUGUGCACUGUGGAAAAGGACUAUACUCAAAGAAAGCCAUUCGUGAUUUUUGUAAUCCAGAACAAAAGAAGUGACUUUCCUUUAAAUUCACACUGUAGUCAAUAAUUUAAAAAACAGUAAAAUUCACUCAUCCCAAGGAGGUUACUGACAUUUUGAGAAGCUCUUUCCUAUUACUACAAAUAAAAAAGGAUGAAAGCACUCUGGUUUUAGCUGAUUUUAAGAAAGUUUCAACACUUAUGUAUGUUUUUGGGUACCUAUUGUUUUCCUUUAACUUGUUUUGGGUUACUUUAAAGUCAGAUAGGAUUCAGGAUUUGUAGGCAAAGAGAGAAAUGACACCCUUUGCUCUCCCUAAAAAGAUAUUUUCUCUUUAAUUGCAUUCUCUUCCUUCAGCUCUUAAGAGAGGGGCAAUUAGGGGAGGAGAAACACUUCCAGACCAGUCAGCUCAAUCCUCUCUGCUCUCUUCAUUUUGAUUCAGAAGUCUCAUUGGACCAAAUUCCCAAUGCUGUUCUUCAUAGGAUGAAAAUGGAUUAAUAUUCAUAGGGCAGGAUAAUCUGAGAGAUACUCCCCUCAGAUAUUAGUUUUCUGUAAAAGAGUGUGGUCUGGAUGUCAGUCAGUAUUCUCUGUUGCUGCUGAAUGCAUGUUCUCAUAUUCUACACAGGAGAACUGGGAUGUUUGGAGGAAGAGAAUAAGGUAGUAUCCAAAAGCUGCCCCUUAGGUAAAAGAAACUUUAGCACUCCCUUCAAAAAUAAAUAAAUCUUAGAUUAAAAAACACACACCACUAUAUUAUUUUCUUUUAAUUUGAUCCUUCUUCCUUGUCUUGCAUAAAAUCUACCUGUUUUUUUUUAGAGACUCUGCCCUUGAAUUAUGGAGCUGAUCACAGGCCAACACAAAUCCAUUUCCAGAAGAAAAAGGCAACAGAAUGGAGCCAACAUUAAAACACAAAUUUAAAAUCAAAAGACCAAGAUUAGUCUUGAAUUCAAUCUGAGCGUCAUAUGUCAAAAUGUGAAAUAAAUUAGUAAAGCCUGACACCCAUAUUUUAAAAAUAUCAGUGUGUGGUAAGAUCUCCCAGAUGUGGAUUUGAUUAGGGCCAAAGUUAGUCUGGUUAAAACCUGCAGCUAGGAAGAUUUUUUUUUCUCCUCAACAAGCUGUCAUGAUUGAAAUAUUGCAAGGAGAGGGAUGGGUUGAAUUUCCCCAAAUUGAAAUUGUACCCCUGCUAAUGAUGUGUAGUUAUGCUGAGAACCAACUGAAUACAGAAAAGGUUGCUGUUA